GACGAACGCUGGCGGCGUGCUUAACACAUGCAAGUCGAACGGAAAGGCCCUGCUUUUGUGGGGUGCUCGAGUGGCGAACGGGUGAGUAACACGUGAGUAACCUGCCCUUGACUUUGGGAUAACUUCAGGAAACUGGGGUUAAUACCGGAUAGGAGCUCCUGCUGCAUGGUGGGGGUUGGAAAGUUUCGGCGGUUGGGGAUGGACUCGCGGCUUAUCAGCUUGUUGGUGGGGUAGUGGCUUACCAAGGCUUUGACGGGUAGCCGACCUGAGAGGGUGACCGGCCACAUUGGGACUGAGAUACGGCCCAGACUCCUACGGGAGGCAGCAGUGGGGAAUUUUGGACAAUGGGGGCAACCCUGAUCCAGCCAUGCCGCGUGCGGGAAGAAGGCCUUCGGGUUGUAAACCGCUUUUGUUCGGGAAGAAAUCCUCUGGGCUAAUACCCCGGGGGGAUGACGGUACCGGAAGAAUAAGCACCGGCUAACUACGUG
rnacentral:rRNA from 1 species